rnacentral:rRNA from 1 species
AACGAACGCUGGCGGCAGGCUUAACACAUGCAAGUCGAGCGCCCCGCAAGGGGAGCGGCAGACGGGUGAGUAACGCGUGGGAACGUACCCUUUGCUACGGAAUAGCUCCGGGAAACUGGAAUUAAUACCGUAUGUGCCCUACGGGGGAAAGAUUUAUCGGCAAAGGAUCGGCCCGCGUUGGAUUAGGUAGUUGGUGGGGUAAUGGCCUACCAAGGCGACGAUCCAUAGCUGGUCUGAGAGGAUGAUCAGCCACAUUGGGACUGAGACACGGCCCAAACUCCUACGGGAGGCAGCAGUGGGGAAUAUUGGACAAUGGGCGCAAGCCUGAUCCAGCCAUGCCGCGUGAGUGAUGAAGGCCUUAGGGUUGUAAAGCUCUUUCACCGAUGAAGAUAAUGACGGUAGUCGGAGAAGAAGCCCCGGCUAACUUCGUGCCAGCAGCCGCGGUAAGAC